GGAAGUAAAAAGUGUAACAAGGUUUCCGUAGGUGAACCUGCGGAAGGAUCAUUAUCAAUUUUACAGUCCUGGGAUGGGGGUAAAAACUCCAUCCCAUGCUGUUCAACCCUUUGUCUUUUGCGUACUGUAUGUUUCCUCGGCGGGUUCGCCCGCCGAUAGGACACUUCAAAACCUUUUGUAAUUGCAAUCAGCGUCAGAAAAACUAUAAUAGUUACAACUUUCAACAACGGAUCUCUUGGUUCUGGCAUCGAUGAAGAACGCAGCGAAAUGCGAAAAGUAGUGUGAAUUGCAGAAUUCAGUGAAUCAUCGAAUCUUUGAACGCACAUUGCGCCCCUUGGUAUUCCAUGGGGCAUGCCUGUUCGAGCGUCAUUUGUACCCUCAAGCUCUGCUUGGUGUUGGGUGUUUGUCCCGCCUUCGCGUGUGGACUCGCCUUAAAGUCAUUGGCAGCCGGAAUAAUUCUGGGGAACGCAGCACAACUGCAGCCUCCAUUUUACGCCGAGCGUCCAGUAAGCCUUUUUUUCACGUUUGACCUCGGAUCAGGUAGGGAUACCCGCUGAACUUAAGCAUAUCAAUAA
rnacentral:misc_RNA from 1 species